GCCGGGCGCAGUGGUGCACGCCUGUAAUCCUAGUGGCUGGGGAGGCUGAGACAGGAGGAUCAAGAGUUCAAAGCCAGCCUCAGCGAAAGCAAGGCACUAAACAACUCAGGGAGACCCUGUCUCUA
rnacentral:sRNA from 1 species